ACUCCUACGGGAGGCAGCAGUAGGGAAUAUUGCACAAUGGGGGAAACCCUGAUGCAGCGACGCCGCGUGAGCGAAGAAGUAUCUCGGUAUGUAAAGCUCUAUCAGCAGGGAAGAAGAUGACGGUACCUGACUAAGAAGCACCGGCUAAAUACGUGCCAGCAGCCGCGGUAAUAC
rnacentral:rRNA from 1 species